rnacentral:lncRNA from 1 species
CAAAAAAAAAAAAAAAAAAAAAUUACAGCAAGCAUCACUUGUCUCUAAUCUAAUUUCUGUUUACUUAUCUCUGUUUCCCACCAGACUUUGAGUUUAUAAAGAAUGAGCAUAUCAGAUCCACUUCUGGGCUCCCAUCACCCAAGCAUGAGUCCAGGCACAGACUAGAUACUCAGAAAUUCUUGCACAAAAUCCUUGCACCAUAUUUUUAUCAUCUAAAACCCACCAAUGAAUACACACAAUCUAACCCAGUUGUACAUUCUAGAGCAAAGCCCAAAAUUUCCCGCCAAAGUGCACAGUCUGGGGGCAUUGUGAAGUGGCAAGGUACUUACCUAUGAUCCCUGAUGGCAGCCCAUCCAGGAGAGUCAGCAUGGUGGCCAAGGUUACAUGCGUGGUCCAGAAUGUUGUCCCCAAGAGGUCACAAAGACGAAGCCAUAAUUAGAAAACCAAAAACGAGGUCAGAUGCUGGGGGCUGGGAACAGAUUGGGAAGUAGAAUCCACAAGGGGUCAUGCAUGGUGAGCAGUCAGGGACUAAGACUCAGAACGCUGUGAGAUUAUUGAGGACCCUCGUGCAUUUGAUGCAGGGAAGAGCGUCCAAAGUGGAGAAAGAGGUUGGGACAGUAAUCAUGAACCGUUCUUCAUUCAUGCUAGGAACAGAAGAAAAGAUGAUCCUUUAUUGCCUCUAGAAAGAGGAGCCAAGCUCUGUCCUUCUAUUUACCCCACACCAGCCCUUUGAGAUCAGAUAUUGUCCCUAUGUUGCUGGUGAGGACGGGUGAACCUCCAAGGAAUUACGUGAUUUGCAGAGACCUGUGCAGCUGGAUGACACAACAGGAAGGCUCUCACAAGAUGCCAACCCCUCAAUCUUGGACUUCUCAGCCUCCAGAAACAUGAGCCAAUAAAUUUCUAUUCAUUAUAAAUUA